UAAAUUUCCCUUUCAUAAUUUCCUUUCUGUUUCUGUGUAUGCGGGUAACUCUGAUGUGUCAAGUUUGUCAUACUACAAUGUAGCAAGCGGGUUUGCUUUCUGAAAUUUGCCGUUUUGUUGUGCAGUCCACAGGAAAUGUUUGGAAUUAGUUAUUUUAGCUUCGAAAAAUAGUGGAAAAGGAUAAAUUUUGCAUUGAAACAGAUAAAUAUAAUUUGCUGGCUCAAUGCUUAUAAAUUUACUACAUCACAUCCACCAUAUUGCAGCUGAUUGUUAAAACAACCAACAACAAAUUCGUUCAUAAGUUUGGCACUUAAUUUUUGUACAAAAAAAAACAAUGCAUACAAUGGAAAAAAAUUCAUUAACUGUUGAUUGUAGUAGCAACGGAAAUAUUAGUGUAGACUGGCACGUGUGGUGCCGCCUGUGUGCCAAGGAGGACACGCAGGGUAAUGUUAACGUAUUCUUUAAGGAUGAGAUUCAAAGUGGUACAUGUUCUAUGACAGCAGACGCCAAAGACAGCGAAGCUCCUCCAGGCAACAAUGUUUUAAACUUAGUCGCAGCAAUAAAGAAAUUUUUGUGGGUAGAUAUUAACAAAGACGACAAGUUGCCGAAAAUGCUAUGUCCAGAAUGCUUUUCACUUGUUACUUCGUUAGAAAAUUUUCAUGAACGAACUGAAAAGGUUCAGCAGUUGUUUAGUGCAUUAAGCGAUUCAACUGAAGACAGUAUAAUAGAUGUUAAUGCGCUUCGUUUAAAAUUUGGUCUACUGGAUGAAGAAAGAGUACACGUACUCAUGCCGCAUCCUUCGCCGGAAGUUCACUAUUUUGAAACAAAACCGAGAAUACUUGAAUUGGAAGAAAUAUUGCUUGAAGGAGAAACAACAACAGUUGCUAAAACUGCUGCUGGAAGCGAUAUAAUAGCAAACCCGUUGGAACAACAAUCUCCUAUAAGUAUAAAAAAAGAAAAGACAUCAGAAGAGUGCAAGACUGAUCACGAUGACGUUUUUGAGGACGAAUAUCCAUUUAACGAGGCAUAUAACUGCGAACAAGCUGAUGGCGAACGUGAUGGACUGCAAGAGUUUGAGUUUGAUAAUAUAUUAACAAGUAAGCCGUGCAAUAAUUUAAUCAAUAUAACUUCAAAAAAUGAAACGAAACCGCCUACAUCAAUUGCGCAAGAAGAAUCAAGUACAACAAAAGAUUUUAACAAAGCUGACACAAUUAACACGCGUCUUUGUCGUAAACGUAAGAUCGCCAACGCACUGAACGAUGAUUCUAGUGGUUGCAGUAAAGAAAAAAGCACCUGCAUAGAUUCAUCAAUGAAAUCUGAAACAAGUGAGGAGGACAAGGAUGCAUUUAUUACUUGUAGCGAAUGUCCGCGAAGAUUCAAGCGCAUUCAAAACUUUCGCCAGCAUAUGAAAAAAACACACCUAAAGGAAACACCCAUUGAGCAACUUCCAUGUACAUUAUGUCCGCGGGUAUUUGCGACGGAGUAUCAACUAAAGAGACAUGCUAAAGUGCAUCUGUCACUUAAGAUGAAAAAGAUAUUUCCAUGCUCAUAUUGUGAAAAAUUAUUUACAACUCCCACAAUGGUUCAAGCACAUGUAAAGAAUAUUCACCGAAAUGAGCGACCAUUUAUUUGUGAAGAGUGUGGAGUACGUAUAGCAACGAAUACCGCCCUUAAAGACCAUAUGCUUACACAUACUGAUUAUGCGCCUUUCAAAUGUGAUGUGUGUAAAAAGGGAUUCAAAAGUAAAAUCCGGCUGAAGAAUCACAUGGAGAUUCAUGAUCCGAAUAAACAUAUUUGCGCCGAAUGCGGUCUACAACUUAACUCUCGAGCAACACUAAAUCGUCACUUGUUAGUGCAUUCAGACAAAAUGCAGCACAAAUGUGAUUAUUGUGGACGAGCGUUCAAACGAGCCAAAGCGCUGAAAAAUCACCUCAUACUUCACACUGGUCUUAAGCCGUAUUCCUGUGAUUUUUGUGAACGAACAUUUGCUAAUGGUUCCAAUUGCCGAUCGCAUAAGAAAAAAGCACACCCAGAAGAGUUAGCAGCACUGGAAGCAUCAGGUGGAGGUAAAACGUACACCCGGAACAUACCUAAAUUGGAAGCAUUAAAAGCAGUCACUAAAACUGCGGAUAAUCUUGCGCCUGUAGUUUCAAAGCAAAGUGGUUGCUUUGCAUUUGGUAAAAAGCCAAAAGGAAUACCAAAGAGUCCUGACGAAAAGUCUGCCCAAAAUUUAGGUAAACAAAAUUCCAUCGGAAUCGAUCAUUCAAUCUUAACUGCAGAUUCAGUAUCCAAUUCAAUUUGUGCGCCAUCAACACAACCUGAUUUAAGUUCGCUUCAGACGGCUGUAAUUAAUGCUAAUUUAGUGAGUGGCAGUAACAGCGCUAUAUGUCCGAUUCCGAUCGAUAAUUUAUAUAAUCAUAUAAUGAAACAAGCAACGAUAACGGCACAAAAUCUAAAUUCAAUUGAGGCAAAAGUUGAAAGUAAUGACUCCAAUGUUAUGCCACGACAUAUCAAACGCCCAUCAAGUGAAGCACCAUCUACUUAUGUGAAUAUUGAACACGAUGCCUCUUCGGAUCUAUCAAGCUUACAACGGCAAUCCCAGACGCAAUCUCAAUCUCAACCUCAACUUCCAACGCAACAUCAACGACAACAACAACCACGCCAAUUACAUUUGCAACAAACACAGAACAAUUCCAUUGCUGUAUCGGCGGCAGCCACAACUGCAGCACAGGAAUUCUACAGUCAAAUUGUAAAGCAUCGUGAGCAGCAGCAGCAGCAGCAGCAAAACACACAUUCACAACAUCAGCAACAUUUAAUAGCUCAACAACAGCAGCGUGAUGAGAUUAUUUCAAUACGUAGUUCAGAUAGUCAAGCAUCACUUAUGACCGCAGACGAUCACUCAAAUACCUCAGCGCACUUUUAUAACCAUGUCAGGCAGAAUCAGCCCGAGCCAUACAUUUAAAAGUAAAUUAGCCCACAACAAUAACGAAUGCACAACCAAAAUAACUGGAAAUCAGAAAGAAUUUGUGUACAAAUUGGCUGAUCUGAACAGAUAAGUUAUGAAAAUAAGAUAAGAUAAUCUGAGUGUAAGAAAGCAGUGCCAAUGUAAAUGAUCGCAAUAAUUAUGGUUUCACCUCAAGGCUGCUGAGUAUAUUGUCUUGAUAAAAUGCAGUAAAUUAAUUAGGUAUAUCCUUAUUAUUGUAUUAUUAUCCUAAUAGAACUGGCUUUCUUUAUAAAAAAUGAACUGAUCCAACGCACUAUUGAAUUGUCCCAAGAACACAUCACCAUACGAGAAGAGAGAUUCGAGAGCCUGCCUGUGCAAUUUAAAACUUAGUGAGAAGCAUGUUCCAAAACUGUUUUAUUUCAAGAAGUUUGCCAUUACUAAUUUUUUUAUAAAUUGUAAAAAAAUCGCUGGCAUAAA